rnacentral:rRNA from 1 species
UAGGGAAUCUUCGGCAAUGGACGGAAGUCUGACCGAGCAACGCCGCGUGAGUGAAGAAGGUUUUCGGAUCGUAAAGCUCUGUUGUUAGAGAAGAACGUUGGUAGGAGUGGAAAAUCUACCAAGUGUCGGUAACUAACCAGAAAGGGACGGCUAACUACGUGCCAUCAGCCGCGGUAAUACGUAGGUCCCGAGCGUUGUCCGGAUUUAUUGGGCGUAAAGCGAGCGCAGGCGGUUCUUUAAGUCUGAAGUUAAAGGCAGUGGCUUAACCAUUUUACGCUUUGGAAACUGGAGGACUUGAGUUCAUGAGGGGAGAGUGGAAUUCCAUGUGGAGCGGUGAAAUGCGUAGAUAAAUGGAGGAACACCGGUGGCGAAAGGCGUUCUCUGGUCUGUUACUGACGCUGAGGCUCGAAAGGGUGGGGAGCAAAAAGG